AAUGGCAGAAUGACAUCCCCCAUUUGGCCCGCUGGAAAUGCCCACCAUCUUUUGGGAAGAUUUACUGGCUGUUUAUAGAAUGCCUGCCUAUAUAAUAUGAAAAAGCUGCUCUCAACUUCUCCCCCAAAACCUUUUAAAAGAAAACAUUUGCCACAUCCAGCCCUUCUAGAGUAAAGAGGUUGCCAACGUAUGAAGUAGAGUUAGAAAAUCACACACCUUGCAAAUUCUCAUUAGUUUAAAAAGAAGUCAUAGAAAAUGUCUUCUGGAGUUGACUUUUUGAAAUGGAGUUAUUAGACCACUUCUGGAAGCAACACGUCCACGUUUGUUCAAUGGGCUAGAGGACAUGGAGCAGAAGACCUGAGAAGGAAAAGAAGCUCCCCACCGUAAGAUAUAUAAGGUGUGAGAAAAUGUGAAGUUGGAGAGGGAAUUUAAUGACAUCAGAAGACAGUCCAAUUUCAGUUAAUGUAAGACGGUUAGAAAAAUGUUGGACAGGAAAAAGGUGAGAAUAAUGGGGAGCUUUUAUAUGCAUACAUCAUCAUAAGUGAAGAAUUUAGGAAGAAAGGGUGUGGUAGGAUCAGCAGAACUAGUAAGGUUCUGUGUGUCAUUAGGUAACUGAGAUUUCAGGGGAUAAUGAAUUACCAAAAGGCCUACGGUAACUAAGUGCCAGUAGAACGUAUGUCUGAAACUCUCCCCUUUCUGCCUGAAGUUAGAAGACUACAUGUUGAAAGUUUGCUUUGAGCUUGGUUCUUCUUGAACAUGCAGCUUCAAAUCAAUGUCUGUCUGCUCAUAAGUUCAACCAAACCAGGA
rnacentral:lncRNA from 1 species